rnacentral:lncRNA from 1 species
GAAAGUGGUUUUUAGGCAGUUUUGAGUCAUUAGGUUGCUGUUUUGAGUUUUAGGUUUGUUUAAGUGUUUUAAAGUUUAGUUUUGCAUUCUUUGAGUCUAGUUUAGUGUUUUAAACCUUGUUUUAGAGUUUUUAAGUCAGUUUCCAAGUGUUUAGCAAUCCCUCCUAAUCCCCGGUCUAGAACGAUCCCUACUUACAUCUUUACUACAAUUUGACAAAAAGAGGGUUUAAUUUGUGUGCUUAUCUAUUUCGCAUUAGCUGGAUUAGAGGAAUGGCUGCGGCAAGGAGGGGGAAGUGGCUGGUGUGAUGGAGAAGUGGUGGCUAAGAGAUAUUAGGGUGAUGGUGGCUGCGGCAAGGUAGGGAAAUAGGGUUGGAUGAAUUUCUGAAUUGUGUAUGCAUGAUGAGUGCGGCUAGGUGUAGAAAUAUAUAUAUAGGCACUUAAAAACCCUAGCAAAUCAGAUUAGGGUUUCUAGAAAUCCAAAUCCACCAGAAAAAUAGGUUAAACAAUCAGAAAUUUGGUGAGAAAAGGGCCUAGGGUGCGGCAAUUAAGUGGGCUAGGGUUAGGGCUUCUAGAAAGCCUUGCAAGGCAAGGAAAUAUGUGUUCUAGAAGGGGAAAGGUGCGGCUGGUUAGUGGGAAAGUGGAUAGGGCUUCUAAAAAGCCCAAAACCAAGAGAAAUUAAGCCCUAACCCACGACAAGGAUGAGAAAAUAUUCUAACACCUUUCUUUGUGUCUUCCAACGCUUCGGAACCUUCUAAUGUUGCUCAAACGCAAGGCCAUUCCGGUUUAGGAAAGAUCAACCCAAAAUGGAAACUUUUAGGCUUAGCUUUCCUACUUCAAGUAGGGAACCUCAAAUCUUCAACUCUUCAAUUUCAUCCCAACCUUGUGUUCCAAGCAUGUCCUUUUCAUUCCAAGCUCACUUUUUGCUCCAAAAGCUCCAAAUUGCAUCAUUUCAUGUAAUAUGUCCUUUAAACCUGAAAACACAUGAAAGUAGCUUAAAAGACUACUUUAACAAAGAAAACAUAACGAAAAUGCAUAAGAACUAGCUAACUAAGGCGCAUAAAUAUGCUCCUAUCAGGGACUAACUCACAAUCAACCAAAAAGCACUUUUUGGUGGCAAUACAAGUAAAAAGCUAAUGACUCACUACCCUCCAAAUGCUUUCGGGCAAGAGCAAAGUCACUGCAAUCAGGCUAAUUUGAAUAAAAGAAGGAAGAGGCCCCAGAAACAAGGACACUCAACCAAUUAAACAAACAAACAUACAAACUCUGCUCUUAAGCCAGAUUUGCAUCUAAAAGCUGUAAUCAACCCAGAUCUUAGUCAUUUUUAGGAUAACUCCCUCACAAAAGCUAUCUUUUAUCUUGAUUAGAAGCUCUGCUAUCACCCCUAGUGGCAUAGUAUCAAUUUCUUUGUGUAAAUUGGUUUACCAUCCAUCCCUUUCUAGCAUAGAAACCACUAUAAACUCAAAGAUAAGUGACUGCAAGAGGUUCAACCUUGCCAAAUAAGGUGAAAUCUUGCCCAAAGCUCUUUGUUUGCUUUAUGAAUUUGUAGAUCUAUUACUUAAUGCAUUCUCCAGUAUGUAUUAGUCAUAUCUGCCUGUUUUCUACUUUAAAAGUCUUAUUUGCAUCUGGAUUAGGUCAAUUUAAUAGAUAUGUUUUCAUUUAAAACCAAUCAAGAACCAAACAAAUGACUUAAGGGAUCUGGACUCCCCUUAUUCGAAUAUACAAGACUAUGAACUGAAAGUACUUGGUCACAAGGCAAGAAAAAAAACUUAAUGUGGACUUAAUCUAUCUACGAAAAUCCUUUGAUAACAAAAAGUCUGAGUAACUUGGGGCGCAAGUAAUCAACUAAACAUAAUCUUGCUCUACAUCUGCUAUAUUAAGAUAGCAGUGGCACGCCUAACACUUAGUUAGUUUUGAUUGUGAGCCUCAAGGCCUACACCUAAAGCUCCACAAAGGCACCUUUCAAAACUAACUUUGUCCUUUUCUUGCAGCACAUCAGCAGGCAAGAGCGACUACAUAUCUAAGGUGACAAUCCCUUGGGGAGUUGUGUUGAGAGCCGAGGAGCCCUCUUUAGAGAAAUCUUCACCCGAACCUAGUUUUGGCACACUUGAUGUGAUUCAUUUAGUCUUGUAUGCCAAGAAGAAGAAGGAAGGAGAAAACAUUCAACUGGAAUACAGAAUAUGGGUCACCCCAGUAUUUACCAAAAGCAAGCAUGACAAAUCAUCCAAAGGAUUUUCCUUCCCUGUAAGGACUAGCUAUUCUAGAAAGCCCGACUUCAUAUGAGAAAUCAGGAAGGAAGGUGACCAAUGAGGACUUGAAAGCCACCAUGGUAUAAGUAUUAAGAAGUAUGGAGAAUAUCACUUUGGAAACCAGAUGAGAAGUAAGCAGACUCUGUUCUUUAGUGAGGAAUUUGCAAAGAAGACUAUAUCUGGAGUACUCUACUCCAAAGAAUGGUUAUGCUAGAGAAAUGAUGAGAGAAGAUAGCCCUGUGAAGCAGCCAGUUAUUCCUCUAUUUCCUUUGCUUAAGGAAAAAAGGGAUAAAGGGAAGAACAAUGAGGGAUCUGAAAUUGAUCAGCCAGUGUUGGAAAAGAUUUUAGAAGUGGAGUUGCCCGACCCCCUAUUAUUUUCACUAGAUAGUAGGGGCACAUUGGGUAAGAAAGAAAGAAGUAUGGGAUGCCCUAGUCAAUUGGAGAGACCAGUGGAAAAGGCAAGCCUACUAAGGUAGACAAGUCUCCCCCUUAUAGGCCACUACCAUUGGUUACUAAAGGAGGGGAGACCAAGUGAAGGAAGCCCAAAACAAGAAAUGAGACUUUCUCGGGCAAUGAUCAUAACCCGAAGUGGGAACUUCCUCAGGGCAAUGAUCGUAGCCCGAAGUGGGAACUUCCUCAUACCCCGCCGAAUAAUACAGCUCACCAGCAGCUCAGGGAUGAAUUAGCCGAGUUAAGAAUGAUGAUAGCCUAGAAUGCUCAACCCCAGGCUCGCCCGCUGUUCAGGAUCACCUACCAAAAGCCAUAUCAAGAGUAUAUUGAUGAGCGUAAUCCUUUUCCUCUCAAUUUCAAGAUGUCCGCAUUCCCAACUUUCAGUGGAGAUGAUGGCAGUGUAUCAUCUAGAGACCACAUCUUCAAGUUCUCCAACCAUUGCGUGGCAUUUGAAGAUAAUCCUAACUAUAAGUUGAGGUUGUUUGGGAACUCGUUGGUUGGUUUAGCAUCUCAGUGGUACUCUUUGUUACCCCCCAAUUAUAUUGCUAACUGGGGGCAAAUGGAGAUGGCCUUCCAUGAGCAGUUCUAUAAGAUGUAGCCCGAGAUAUCCAUUAAUGACUGAUGUGAAAAUUAUGUUGACACACAAAUUAAACCCUAUUUGUGACAAUUGUAGUAAUGAUGUAAGUAGGGAUCGUUCUAACCGGGGAUUAACUAGGGGUGCUAAUCUAAUAUAAAUUGAUUUAAAACACAAAAACUAAACUUAAAGACUCUAACAAGACUACUAUAACUCAAAACAGAUUUGAAACACUCAAAACUGCCUAAAACAAUCAAAUUGACUCAAAAAGAAACUAGAACUUGAUUGGACGAAUUUGAAAGUGUUUAUGACUCCAAAUGCUUAAAAACACAAAAUAAAACAGAUUUGAAUGACUAAGACUCAACAAAAUAUGGGGGGGGGAUUGUGUUUGGACGAAAUUAAAUUAAAUGGGUAGAUUGUAAAGAAAACAGAUUGUAAGACAAAAUUGUGAUGAAUCAACGUAAAUCAAUUUCCAGUUAUCAAUUUAAUAAGUU